rnacentral:rRNA from 1 species
UACGUAGGCAGCGAGCGUUGUUCGGAGUUACUGGGCGUAAAGCGCGCGUAGGCGGCUUAUCAAGUCAGGGGUGAAAUCCUUGGGCUCAACCCAAGAAUUGCCUUUGAAACUGAUAAGCUAGAGUACUGGAGGGGAUAGCGGAAUUGCUAAUGUAGCGGUGAAAUGCGUAGAUAUUAGCAGGAACACCGGUGGCGAAGGCGGCUAUCUGGACAGUAACUGACGCUGAGGCGCGAAAGCGUGGGGAUCAAACAGG